GAGGCAGUUGAGGCUGGGACUAUCUCAACGUUUAAGAAACAGUUAGACAGGAAAAUGGAUAGGACAGGUUUGGAGGGAUAUGGACCAAACACGGCAGGUGGGACUGGAGUAGCUGGGGCAAGUUCGGCCUGUGUAGGGAAGUUGGGCCGAUGGGCCUGUUUCC